GGACGCGUUGCAUUUCCAUGAAGAUAUGAUCAUAAAUGUUCUUCCUUGAGCUGCGUCACCCCACUGUAGUUUGUAAUCGACUGGCCUGAGGUAUCGCUACAAACAAGUGGCUGCUGGAAGAGAGUGGGUGAGUUGCGUUUAGUCUCUUUGCUAAAGCUAAAAAGCUAAAAAUAUGUUUGGUGGCUAGUGCUAUGGCUUGGACCCUUUAUGUACUGUUGAUGAAGUUAGGUGCUGUUCUAAGCAUUAUUUGUGGCGUUUUGGUUAAGCAUGUGGCUCUCUGUAUUGCUAUCCUGCUGUCGUUACUAAGUUGGUAUAACUUGUGUGGUGAGAUGCCUCCAUCUCUAUUUUUCUUUGGUAGAACUUCCUUGUGUCUCUGGUCUGGCUUGACUGUUUUUCAGAGCACUUCCCCUCCACCCGGUCGCUGAGGCUGAGAGAGACUCCACACCUGCGCUGCAUUGGCAAUCACGGCCCUUGAAGAAGCCAGCAGCCCUCAGUCUCAGCGCCUGAGGAUUGUCUUCGCUCCUGAGUGGUACAGACGCUUCUCCUGGCCUUCUCCCCAGCUAAGUGCUCGUGACUUUUUGCUCCCUGCGAUUCCUUGUAUGUCUUCUCACCUCUUUCUCCUCUGCUUCUCCACAGUGUCUCCAGCCCACACAACAGCCAGCCAGCCAGCCAACCAGACUUUCUCUCGUACCUUUUUCCCUGAGUUUGGACAUUAAAAUCACAUCUUUUAACUUGCCAUCUGUCUCUGAGUCUGCUUCUGGGUCCGCAAAAUACCCCACACGCCACAACUAGAGAACAAGCGGUCAGCAACAUUCAUCUCUUGAUGGGGUGUCUAAUUCUGUGUUACGGCGUGUUUGACCCUGACUUAAUUUUACGCUGGAAUAUCCCUUUAAGCUGAAGCCACCGCAGUCAUGUGAUAAAAAUAAUGAUGAUGUGGAAUGGCCUGAUAGUGAGAAACUAGCAAACGAGGGGGCUCCACACCCCCGAGGCCCCUCGAUGCUCUCCCCUCUCUCUUGAAUCAAAUGUGCAGAGAUGUGUGGGACUUUACUCUCACAGGAGGAACUUGAACCCUCUGACUUCCUGCCUGUUGAUGAGGUCAUCGGUCUCAGAGGGAGGGUCUGUGAAAAAGCCUGCUCAAUAACAGCCCACUGACAGCAGGCCACGGCGAGAGAGGGAGGAGGCGCAGAAAGCAGAGAUGGGAUAUGUAGCGAGGGUGGAGGGGAAGGUGACAGGUUGAUUUGGGGGAGAAGUGGUCCAGUGCUGUCUCUGAUGAGCCUGAGGCGGUGUGCUGAGCACAGCAUGUGUGCAUGCUAUGGAGAGGACUCUGCUCCAAAAAAACAAAAAAAAAAAGAAGAAGAAAAAAUUGACAAAGGGGGCGGGGGUGUGAAAGCUACACCGCCAGGAAAAUCUAACAAAAAUGGCUGAGAAUGUUCCCGUCUGACUGAACUUUCUGUUUUUCAUUAAUUACGUACGUAAUUGCAAUCCAAGACAGUGUGUAGCUCCAAAAUCUGACUCCAUAUAUUAACGUUUGGGUUCAGAUAGUGAUCAGGAUUCCAUAUGCCACAAUACUCUGCUUCGCCCUGAGGCUGGUCUGUUUUAUGACCAACAAAAUGAGGUCUUCAAAAAGCCAGAUGAUUGUCUGUUGAGCUUUUUAAACAGCUGUCACAAUGAGGUAUUUUUGCACAGAAGGGUGGGUCUUAUGUUUUUUUUUCCUGUAAGGAAUGUAUAGCUUGUGGUAUCACAUGCUGCUCGCUGUCAGCUGGCCGGCCUCUCGCUGGCUCCCGGCUGAUGUCAGAGCACCUCUGAUUAAAGAGCAGGCUGCCUUUGCUCCCGCUGAAGGUCAGGUUGCUGUGAGGUAAGUUCUUGCUCCUUGAAAGCAGAGGGGCCUGCGCCGCGGUGAGGCUGAGGAGGGGGAGCACCUGGUGCAGCCCUGCCUGAGGCUGCAGCACUUAUAGGUAGGGGGGGUUAGGAAACUGGGAAGGAAGGGAGGGGCAGGAUGGUGAUCGCACAUACAAAGCCAUCUUGUUUCAGGCCGAGCUGCUCUGUUGCCAAGCGUCCAGAGCCCUAUAUCCUGCCGCUCAGUGAAAGAGCCAGUCUUCAAACAAGCUGUAUGAACAAAGAGCCAUACAGCAGCCUUUCUGCACACACACUCACUCACUGUAUUUCACACUGUAUCGCCCUUCAUCUCUGACCUCCCUUUGCCACCCUCAUUCAGCUCAGAGUAUUUCUCAAGAGGUCAAUCCCUAACUCCCAUAAAACAAUGCAAUUAAGUCAUUCUGUGUAAAACACACACAGCCUGGUCAAAACACACACAGUCACCCUCCAGUCAUCGCAGCAGCAGCAUCAUAACGCCUUCCAGAUGUGGAGAUACUGUACUCUCCAGCAUUAGCAAACGAUGGAGGUCAGUGCCCCACUCUCAUGGUGCUAAUGGUGCCCAGGAGGCCUCCGACGGGGGAAGGGUGGGGUAGGCCGGUCGGUGGAGGGGGGUCAUGAGACCUUUGAAGCUCCUGCUGAGCCUACGAAAAGACACCGGCAUCCUUUCCCUUUCACGGGGUAAUCGCUGAUCUGUCUUCUCUUUGCGCCGAUCAGCGGGGUUUCAGAUGAAAAGCAGCAUGAGGAACACGGGCGUGGUUUCUAAAGACAUCCUGGUAACGUUUGAAAACAGGAUAGCAAAGUCCUCCACAGCUGCUGAUAAAUACAAUAAGGUUUCGUUUAUCUUCAUUAUGCGGCUGGGUAUCUUGUUACAGCUGCUCCUUAACAACUUAUUACAAAUUCUUUCUUUCUCUCUUAGCUUACUGUAAGAGCUUCAAUCUUAAAAGAUCAAUAUCAGCUCUCAGGGGUUAGCUUGUGUUACCAUCUUCCCUCUUUCCCCUCCCUGUGACCCUCACUAAAUGAUCUCAUGCCAUGUCUCAGAUUUAUGUUCUUAGCUGUUCUCUAUUAAUCUGUUGAAGACCAAUCAUUACGACUCUAUAUGUUUCUCGAUAUGGAGCAGACAGCCACAGUCCCUCUGGGCGUGAUUUUUUUAAAUGCUAAUCUCAUCUUUAAAGCCGGGGAAGGAGCUCAUGUGGCUGCUGUAGAAACGGAAACCUAUUUAUGCUUAUAUUUUAUGGAGUUUUGUGGUGGUUGGAUGAUGAAAUGCAACGAUCUAUGACGGGACUGCUGCCAAAGAUGGUUUUUGGGGUUUUCCAGUUAUUUCGGCACCUUACAGCAUCACAAAGAAAAAAACCGUGAGGAUAUAUUAGCGUGGCUAAAGCGAAGGGACACAAAGGGAAACUACACCACAACAUUUUGGCCAUGCCAGUGGAUCCACCCAAGGCCACGGGUGAGCCCCAGACUCCGACCCAAAGCCGAGAGAGCGUGCACCAGGGAAGAGUAGGAAAAAAGCUCCAGGCUCAGGAGCUCUGUGAGAAAGUGUCCAUCUGCAGUGCACGUUGGAGACAGCCCAAAACAAACAAGUUAAAAUUAAACCACAGAGAGACAGCCAAUCUCCGUAUUUAAAGUUCCUACAAACAGAGGAUUACCCUGUUACCAUUUCAAAGCUCUGAGAAAUUGUCAGUUUUGUGGUUUGUCCCACCACAACACAACCAAUAAUGUCUGUAACAGCUACACCGCUGGCAGAGCUCAGCUGUUCGCCACAUAACGAAGGAAGAAAGUGAAAAAAAUGUGGAAGAAAAUGUCUAGAAAUAGCAGCAGGUGCGUUUAAGAAAGCUGUUUUAGUCAGGAUGGGUUGACCACUAUCUUCUUCUUGUGUAGUCUGACAUAGAAAAUGUUAAUUUUGAAAGAAAACUAAAGGUUUUCAGACAACUCUGAAUGGUUGUACUCAUUUAUGCUGAACACUGUAAAGGUCUCUUAACAAAGUCCAAUAUAACUCAUAUUUGUGAGGUAUGCCUCAGGGGGAAAGAGCAGUACAGGACAUACAUGCUGGGCUUUAAAUGGGAAUAUUAGAGAUAUAUGGCAGGGAGAGUCACGACUGAAAUGCUGCUUUGUUCAUCCUUCCCGUCAGCGAAGCCGCUUCUGUGACACAAGUAAUGAUGAUUACAAUCCUCCGUUUGUGAAGCUUUUGUUUUCAAAAACAUCCAUUUAUAUGAAAUAUUCCUGCACAAACACUUUCUUUCUUAUCUGUCAAAUGGUGUUUUUCCUUCAGCCAGAUAAAAACUUGUAUGCUAUAGUUCAUUUAUUGUGCACUACAGUAGAAACACGGUGGUUAUACAGUAGAUGGCCUCCUUUGUGGAAGGGUUAUCGUUCCUUUAAACAGAUCAUUUGAAGGUUUAAUGUUUAUUAGGAUCCCCGUCAGCUUUUGUCAAGACAAAGCUAGUCUUCCUGGGGUCCAACACAAAAAAUAAAAACAUUACAUAAACAUUCAUUCCAUGAUUAUACAAUCACUCAUCUUCAAAACAAUUCAAUAAAAAUAGGAAAAAAGAACAGGAUCAUAUACAAUACAUGAGUUUAGUGCCUCUGUGGAUGAGUACAGACUUAUUCUCCUCAACUGUUGUUUGAAGUUUUUCUUGAAAACAGAUUUAGUGUUUUUUUUUUGUUUUGUUUGUUUUUUUAAAUAUAAUUAGGCAUUGAGUUUCAUCCUGUAAUGGCUCUAUAGGUAAAGGUAGAUUUAGGUCGCUCUGUUCUUGGUUUAGAUGGUUCAGUGUAUCCAGAGUUGGCCUGUCUAGUCAUGUAGUAAUUUACAUUUUGUGUAUAUUUAACUUGAUCAUAUAAAUGCUGUGGUCUCAAAAGGUAACAAAAUCACAGUGAGUUGCUAUCAGGAAUCCAAAAAUAGUACUAAAAGAGAAUAAAUACAAAAAUAGUCUGAAGAGCAGUUCAGAUAAAUCAGUGUGAUCAGUCAAAGACUGCAGGAGCUUCACUUGUAACAGUGAGACGGCACCACAGAGGGAUGUGACAUUUCAUGAGAUCUGCCUUUGAAUCACAUUUCCUGUUCUGUGUGUGUUCAAAGGUUGCCUCGACACAGAAGUGGUUAGUAUUUCAGCAGUUUUUGAUGACAAAUAAAAAAAUAAAAACAGGCAGUAACAGUAAAGCUUUUUACAUGUGACCUUCUCCACUGCACGCCAUUAAUAAUGAUCAGUCAAAUCAAAUCAGACUAACGGGGAUCCCACUGCUCAACUUAGCAGGCUUCGACUUUGCUAAUUGGGUUUCACCAGAGGCUUUGUUAUGGCCUCAGAGUGAGGCUAUGUGGUCUCUGUGGUUGCCAAUGCUGAGGUUUCCAAAAUCCAUAUGAUACCCUGCUGUUUCCUGUAGCCCCCCUUCUUCUCCUUUACCCACAGCCUUGUCUGCCCCACAGAUCUCUGCCCCAAUUUGUACACAGACUUUUGAUGCCAGAUUUGACACUGUGGUUCCAUCUAGUGGCGAUUCAUAGACAUCAAACGCUGCCAGUUCUGCAAAAGUGCUGCAAAACAAAAAGACACGUUCAUUCUUAUUUGAGACUUAAAUGAUGAAAAUUUUAAGUCUUACAAGUUUUGUUUUUUUGUAGUUUUUCGUGCUUUGAUUUGCUUUAGGAUCACUUUUUGGAAUCAACACAAGGGGGAGGUAGAGAUCAGGGACUUUCAUGCAGUAGUAGGUGAAGUUCCUGAGAGCUGUCACAUAAAAACACCCCUUAGGAUUUUAUUUCACAAACAGAUGUGAUCAGCAUGAAUCUGGGAAAAAGGUCUGGAUAACUGUUCCACCGAGCAAUCGCACCCGGAUGAUGUAGGAGGGGUCUCUGCCGUUCAUCUGGAAAAAUAUGUACAAGUUUAUUACUCCCCGAAAUGCUUGACAUCAUCUUCCUAAGCCCCACACAGAGCCAGGUUUCUCACUCUGUAUUUCACAAACAGAUUAAAGCGAGGCUGUUGCAAAUCCAAAAGAUUAACGUUGAUCUUUUCCCAGUUUUUGUAAAAUUUAAAAAAAGAUGGAUUAAGAAGUAAACUAAAACAUGGUUUUUGUCUUUUCCCCACCAUGUAGCCCCUAAUCAUACCCAUAUGGCAAUGAUGUCAGUGCUUUAUGUUGCAGACCAAUGAGCCUCCCUUGGGACCUAAGACCCUCCCUAUGUUGAUGGACCUGAAACCUCCUGUCAGAAAACAUCUGUGCUGUUCAAGUGAUAUUAGCCAGGGACAGUGUCAGGGGGGCUCUUGGUGCUUCUGAAAUAGCGUUACCGGAGAAAGAAAGGCCAAAUAACACUGAUUUCCUUUUAAAAACAGGUCAAAUGAUUCAUGGUUUUCUGUGGAAACGGGCAUCAUUGCAUAAAAGUGAAUCCUGAAUCCUCUUUAUCUUUCCCAAACUUGCACAGUUGUCUUUUCAGAGGCUUUUGUUGCAGAUCCUCUGACUCAUCCUCCCCCACAAGCUUGAAGUUUCUGGAUGAAUCUGACUGUUGUCUGUACGCAAAAAAAGGAGUGGAUGGGGGGGAGAUUGUUCUUGGAGAGGCCUUCUCCUGUGACUCAGCUGGACAGGAGUGAGCCUCAUUUCACUCAACAGGACAACAAAACAAAGUAAUCACUAUGAAAAGGAGACUCAAUAGCCCCCGAGGACUUACACUCCUUCAUUUCCAACUGAAGGGGGCUGUUGCAUUUAAAAAGAGGAUGGUGGAAAGGAGCACACAGAAAGCACAGCCGUGGAAAGGAAGGGGUGGGAUCAAUCAAGAAAGAAAAAAGGAGAAAGCUUAAGUCAAGGGAAGGAUUUGAGCCAACGAUUGCUGUGGCGCUACACAAUGUUAGUGACCUGAAUCUUCUUCAGGAACGCCCAAUCUACAAGAAAUGUUAUCCUGUUCGUACGCAGAGGUGAAGGAGAUGGGAACAAGUGAAACAAUAUCACAGCGGGUUUAUUGGAAAUUAACAGAUAUAUUGCAAUUAGGAACUGGCAGACAGAGAGGACAGGGGGUGUGGAGUCCAGUGAGCACAACAAAAGGUCAUCAGAUAAGAAAUUCAGGCAGGAAAAUCGACUUCCAGUCUCUGGCAGCACCCUCACACUGAUUUUAAACACUCCAGUUUUACAUCUUUUGUUUACUCCAUUCAAUUGUCUGCUGCUGUAAACCGGAAAUUCCUUGUUUUUUAUCUGAUUUCUGUUGACAAUACACUUACCCCAUUUCUAUUACUAAUUAUUUUAUCAUAUGCCACUCUUUUGAAAGUUUACUGACAGAUAAAAACACACAGGAAAGCUGCAUGUGUGAACACAAACACCUCUGCUCUAUUUUUUAAACAACUCUCUGGAGUGAUAUCUGAGUAGUGUUGAAGGAAUGCAGGAGAAAAUAUUCAGCAGAUUUUCUGUGUAGUUAAAAAAAAAAUACAAAUGUAGUGCAAAUCAAUAGCAGAGGCUGCCAGUUUGCAAGUUUUGAGGUCACAAAAAGGGAUGAGCGUACCAUAGAAGUAAGGGGAGCCUUUUUUAUUCUCCAAUAUGAAAGUUUUCUUUUUGAAUAAAGGUGUCUCCGUACACAAAUAACACUCUCAACACAGAAUCGGUCAUUUUAUGAGACCUGAACAGUGAUUUUUACAGCAUGAUAGUAAGCUGUUGUUCACUGUGCUUAUUUUUCUCUCCUCAUUAUUACCUGACCGUGUUAAAUACUUGAUUCUGAUUGGUCAGAAUCAAAAGGCUGCUUAAUUAACAGAUCGCAGACAUCAUAUCAAAUCCCUUAAAUUCAACAUUUGGUUUAUGAUGCCAGUAAUCCUCGUGGCUAUGAGUCAAUAUUUUAACCUUUUGAUAACAUUAGUAAAGGAUGUAUUUAAUCUUGCUCCAUUUUUCUCAUCUAAGAAAAACAGGCGCCGGUCUGUGGUGACCCGAUAGUUCUCCUGUUCCUGUCCCCUCCCCGUAUAUAUCUGUCUACUGUAUGUUUCUUGGAAAGGAUGAACUGUUAAUCGGGAAUUUCCUCUUGUGGGACUAAUAAAGGAGAACCUUAUCUUAUCUUAAAAGUUCGGAGUGGUUGUCAAUGGCUGACCAGUCCUCAGUGGAGAAAAACUGAUAAGAGGGGGGAAAACUACGCGAGGUGUUAAAAAACACAAGAAGCCGAGUGACAGAUGGAAACCAAACUGUAAAGACCAAUG
rnacentral:lncRNA from 1 species